AUGGAGAGUUUGAUCCUGGCUCAGGAUGAACGCUGGCAGUAUGCCUAACACAUGCAAGUUGAACGCGAGCUUCGGCUCGAGUAGCAGACGGGUGAGUAACACGUAAGAAUCUGCCUCUAGGAGGGGGACAACAGUUGGAAACGACUGCUAAUACCCCAUAUGUCGUAAGAUGAAAGGUUUUCCGCCUAGAGAGGAGCUUGCGUCUGAUUAGUUAGUUGGUAAGGUAAUGGCUUACCAAGACGAAGAUCAGUAGCUGGUUUGAGAGGAUGAUCAGCCACACUGGAACUGAGACACGGUCCAGACUCCUACGGGAGGCAGCAGUGGGGAAUUUUCUGCAAUGGGCGAAAGCCUGACAGAGCAAUACUGCGUGAGGGAUGACGGCUUUCGGGUUGUAAACCUCUUUUAUCAAGGAAGAAGAUCUGACGUUACUUGAUGAAUAAGCAUCGGCUAACUCCGUGCCAGCAGCCGCGGUAAUACGGAGGAUGCAAGUGUUAUCCGGAAUCACUGGGCGUAAAGCGUCUGUAGGUGGUUUAGCAAGUCCGUUGUUAAAGGCUGAGGCUCAACCUUGGUAUGGCAAUAGAUACUACUAGACUAGAGGAUUGUAGAGGUAGAGGGAAUUUCCAGUGGAGCGGUGAAAUGCGUAGAGAUUGGAAAGAACACCAAAGGCGAAGGCACUCUACUGGGCAAUACCUGACACUGAGAGACGAAAGCUAGGGUAGCAAAUGGGAUUAGAUACCCCAGUAGUCCUAGCUGUAAACGAUGGAUACUAGAUGUUGGAGGUCCCGAUCCCUUUGAUAUCAAAGCUAACGCGUUAAGUAUCCCGCCUGGGAAGUACGCUCGCAAGAGUGAAACUCAAAGGAAUUGACGGGGACCCGCACAAGCGGUGGAGCAUGUGGUUUAAUUUGACAACGCGAAGAACCUUACCAGGGUUUGACAUGACGUAAAUUUCUUUGAGAAAAGAAAGUGCCGUAAGGAAUACGUACACAGGUGGUGCACGGCUGUCGUCAGCUCGUGUCGUGAGAUGUUGGGUUAAGUCCCGCAACGAGCGCAACCCUUGUUUUUAGUUGCCAUAUGGAAAUCUAAAAAGACUGCCGAUUCAACAUCGGAGGAAGGAAAGGACGACGUCAAGUCAUCAUGCCCCUUAUACCCUGGGCUACACACGUGCUACAAAGAGAAAGACAAUGAGCAGCUAACCUGCAAAGGGGUGCGAAUCUCCAAACUUUCUCUCAGUUCGGAUUGUAGGCUGCAACUCGCCUACAUGAAGGUGGAAUCGCUAGUAAUCGCUGGUCAGCAUACAGCGGUGAAUCCGUUCCCGGGUCUUGUACACACCGCCCGUCACACCAUGGGAGCUGAUCACGCCCGAAGUUGUUACUCUAACCUUUACGGAGGAGGAGGACACCUAAGGCAGGGUUAGUGACUGGGGUGAAGUCGUAACAAGGUAGCCCUACUGGAAGGUGGGGCUGGAU
rnacentral:rRNA from 14 species